rnacentral:rRNA from 1 species
CAGCCGCCGCGGUAAUACAGAGGGUGCGAGCGUUAAUCGGAUUUACUGGGCGUAAAGCGUGCGUAGGCGGCUUUUUAAGUCGGAUGUGAAAUCCCUGAGCUUAACUUAGGAAUUGCAUUCGAUACUGGGAAGCUAGAGUAUGGGAGAGGAUGGUAGAAUUCCAGGUGUAGCGGUGAAAUGCGUAGAGAUCUUGAGGAAUACCGAUGGCGAAGGCAGCCAUCUGGCCUAAUACUGACGCUGAGGUACGAAAGCAUGGGGAGCAAACAGGAUUAGAUACCCCGGUAGUCCCUGUCUCUUAUAC